rnacentral:lncRNA from 1 species
AUGGUCUUAAACAGAGUUUACGGCCUGCUGGCAUGUUGGUCAAGAUGUCAAAAGACUUUGGGACAACAUGGAAGGUUUUCCGUUACUUUGUGGAGGACCUUGCCAACUCAUUCCCCAGUGUCUCAGAAGGGCCAGCAGACAGUAUCGAUGACUUUAUCUGUGAUAGUUGCUACUCUGGGACAGAGCCAUCCACAGAUGGAGAGACUGGGGGAAAGAAAAGAGGAAAGGAGGAAAGAAUUUGAGGCAAUCCAGAAGGAGGCAGAUGACUUGAGGAACUUUAUUGUUAACAAAGUGGAUCAAUACAAUCUGUGCUCUAUUUAAGCCAGCAAGGGCUUCUCAUCCUCAAAAUUAAAGGAAGCAUUUUUAAUGUUUCUGAUGGGAGGAUGCCGAAGGCAGAUUAGGAUUAUUGGAUAAAUGCAGUCCUUUUAUCCUGAUCGUUUAUGGGCUUUCUGAUUUUUUGUUUACAAUCCAGUGUUACGAAUUGGUUCUCAUCAAGCCCCAGAAAUACUUAACGACCACAUUCUGGUUCACAGUCCAGGUUUUCAAAUGAAUCAAACAAAAAGACACACUUUGUCGAUUUAAUUUAAUCUUCAUUGGGUCAACAUAAAGGGGGAAAGUAAUGAAAUAGAUAAAGUUUAAAAUGAUUUUUUUUUUUUUUUAAAGAAAAGAAAAAAAGUGCAGUUAGUUAACCAAUAAAUAGAUUUCUACCUGAUUAUUAAAACAACUUCUUGGAGAAACCUAAUAGUCAGAUUGAUUCAGCCAUCUUUUGAGAUAAUUGUUACAACUUAAAAAAGGUACUGGACUGAACUUUUUUUUUUCUUUCUUUUUGGGUCAGACAGCACUUAAUUAUUAAAUUGUGUCUUUCCAAGGAAUCUUGCAUACAUCAGUGUAUAGAAAACCGACAGGCAGAAACACAAUUUUACAUGCCAAGAGUUUCCAUCCAAAUUGGCUUAAAGAGAAUGUCCCAUAUGGGCAGUUCCAGAGAGUGAAGAGGAUCUGUGACCAAGAUCAUGUUUUGGAGAGUAAGUCACUAGAGAUGAUGGCACGA